rnacentral:rRNA from 1 species
GACGAACGCUGGCGGCGUGCUUAACACAUGCAAGUCGAACGAUGAAGCUGGAGCUUGCUCCGGUGGAUUAGUGGCGAACGGGUGAGUAACACGUGAGCAAUCUGCCCUUGACUCUGGGAUAACUGCGGGAAACUGUAGCUAAUACCGGAUACGAGGUCUGGGGGCAUCCCCGGGCCUGGAAAGAAUUUCGGUCAAGGAUGAGCUCGCGGCCUAUCAGCUAGUUGGUGAGGUAAUGGCUCACCAAGGCGACGACGGGUAGCCGGCCUGAGAGGGUGACCGGGCACACUGGGACUGGGGCACGGCCCAGACUCCGGCGGGGGGGAGCAGUGGGGAAUAUUGCACAAUGGGCGCAAGCCUGAUGCAGCAACGCCGCGUGAGGGACGAAGGCCUUCGGGUUGUAAACCUCUUUUAGCAGGGAAGAAGCGAAAGUGACGGUACCUGCAGAAAAAGCACCGGCUAACUACGUGCCAGCCGCCGCCGUAA